GAAAAAUCAGAAAGCUCAGACCCAGAAGUUGUAGGCUGUAAAGGAGGAAGUUGCACAGUGGGUUGCUGAAGAACUUCAUGAGUUGAAGAUGGCGGACUUAACAAAGCCAUAAGUCGAGCCCCAGGGUUAGGAUUCGGGUUAUUUCCAGGAUUCAAGAACUGGUGAGGACUAGUAGGGGUUGGUGGUGGUUGAAGUGGUGGAGCAGGGAAAGACAUAGAUCUUUGCGGAUGCAUAUGUCCAUCAUGUUGAGGUUGAUGGUUGUUAUACUGUAGAGGAAUAUUGUGAUUGAAUUGAGGAAUAAGGUGAAAAGGGGUUGUCUGGGUUGGGUAGUAAAGUCCUCCGGCACUUCCUCCUGUACCACCACCGGCGCCGCCGGCACUAGCCGGAGGAUAAGAAGCUGAAGCAAGCGGAAAUGGUGAAGGUAUCAAAUUCGGGUUAAUGGGGUUCUGGGUAUUCGGGUUUGUUGAAACCAGAGUUGAAGGCUUGAAGAAAGUAUGCAUAUCAGACGGUGUUCCA
rnacentral:misc_RNA from 1 species